rnacentral:rRNA from 1 species
CACAUCCUGGGGCUGGAGAAGGUCCCAAGGGUUCGGCUGUUCGCCGAUUAAAGUGGCACGCGAGCUGGGUUCAGAACGUCGCGAGACAGUUCGGUCCCUAUCUGUUGUGGGCGUAGGAAAAUUGAGUGGGGCUGACCUUAGUACGAGAGGACCGGGUUGGACUAACCUCUGGUGAAUCUGUUAUGGCGCCAGCUGUACUGCAGAGUAGCUAUGUUGGGAAUAGAUAAGCGCUGAAAGCAUCUAAGUGCGAAACUAGCCACGAGAUGAGUUUUCCAUAUAGGAUCCCAGUAGACUACUGGGUUGAUAGGCUAUAGAUGUAAAGGUGGUGACACCAUAGUCGAGUAGUACUAAUUAUCCGAAGCUUUCUUUAU